CCUACGGGAGGCAGCAGUGAGGAAUAUUGGUCAAUGGGCGCGAGCCUGAACCAGCCAAGUAGCGUGAAGGAUGACUGCCCUACGGGUUGUAAACUUCUUUUAUAGAGGCAUAAAGUGAGGCACGUGUGCCUUUUUGUAUGUACUUUAUGAAUAAGGAUCGGCUAACUCCUUGCCAGCAGCCGCGGUAAUACGGAGGAUCCGAGCGUUGUCCGGAUUUUUUGGGUUGAAAGGGAGCGUAGAGUGGUUGUUAAGUCAGUUGUGAAAGUUUGCGGUUCAACCGUAAAAUUGCAAUUGAUACUGGCAGUCUUGAGUACAGUUGAGGUAGGCGGAAUGCGUGGUGUAGCGGUGAAAUGCUUAGAUAUCACGAAGAACUCCGAUUGCGAAGGCAGCUUACUAAACUGCCACUGACAUUGAUGCUCGAAAGUGUGGGUAUCAAACAGGAGUAGAUACCCCUGUAGUC
rnacentral:rRNA from 1 species